rnacentral:tRNA from 1 species
GCAUUGGUGGUUCAGUGGUAGAAUUCUCGCCUGCCACGCGGUAGACCUGGGUCCUAUUCCCGGCCAAUGCA